rnacentral:rRNA from 1 species
UUCCUACGGGACGCAGCAGUCGGGAAUAUUGCGCAAUGGAGGAAACUCUGACGCAGUGACGCCGCGUAUAGGAAGAAGGUCUUCGGAUUGUAAAGCUCUUUGAUCAGGGACGAACAGAUGACGGUACCUGAAGAACAAGCCCCGGCUAACUACGUGCCAGCAGCCGCGGUAAAACGUAGGGGGCGAGCGUUGUCCGGAAUGACUGGGCGUAAAGGGUGCGUAGGCGGCAUAAUAAGUUAGAAGUGAAAUACCCAGAGCUUAACUCGGGUGCUGCUUCUAAGACUGUU